AUAACCUGCUGUACAGCUAAAUCAUUUUACAAAUACGUCUUUCCUCCUUUUCCCUAGGAAUGCUUUGCCUUUUAUCUUUCCUUUGGAAGCAGUAUCCAUAAGCCUUCAUCAGAAGCUUCUAAAAGUGGAAGGAAUUUUUCUUUGUUAGAAAGGACCACGGGCUAAAUUAAAGGAGAUUGCUAUAAGCUGCUUUCAUGUUGUAUCAGAGUAAGAUGGACGGUAGCUUUGAUUGUGAUUGUGGUGAGCUGGAGCCACCUGAUCACUAACAAAAGACAUCUUCUGUUAACCAACAGCCUCCAGGGCUUCCUGUUGAAAUAAAUAUAUAGCAACAAAGGAAAAAAAGAAGCAAAACGGAAAUAGUGCUUACCAGCACCUUAGAAUGAUGCUGCUCAGGACCAGUCCAACACUGAAUGUAUCUGCACUGUGAGGAGAAUGUUCAUAGAAGCCUGUUGUGUGCAUAUUUAUUCACAUUUUUGUUAAAUGUUAAAUCGUUUAGCACGGUAAUCUGAGUGCACAGUAUGUCAUUUCAUUCCGUUUGAGUUUCUUGUUUUCGUUAAAUGUCUGCAGAGUUGCUG
rnacentral:sRNA from 1 species